GACGAACGCUGGCGGCGUGCCUAAUACAUGCAAGUAGAACGCAGUGGCGAACGGGUGAGUAACGCGUAGGUAACUGCCUCAUAGCGGGGGAUAACUAAUGGAAACGAUAGCUAAUACCGCAUACUGUGAGAUGGACCUGCUUUGUAUUAGCGUGUUGGGGAGGUAAAUGCUCACCAAGCCGACGAUACAUAGCCAGACUGAGAGGGUGAUCGGCCACAAUGGGACCGAGGCACGGCCCAGACCUCUACGGGAGGCAGCAGUAGGGAAUCUUCGGAAAUGGACGGAAGUCUGACCGAGCAACGCCGCGUGAGUGAAGAAGGUUUUCGGAUCGGAAAGCUAUGUUGUGAGAGAAGCGUUAACUAACCAGAAAGGGACGGCUAACUACGUGCCAGCAGCCGCGGUAAUAC
rnacentral:rRNA from 1 species